GACGAACGCUGGCGGCGUGCUUAACACAUGCAAGUCGAACGGAAAGGCCCUGCUUUUGUGGGGUGCUCGAGUGGCGAACGGGUGAGUAACACGUGAGUAACCUGCCCUUGACUUUGGGAUAACUUCAGGAAACUGGGGCUAAUACCGGAUAGGAGCUCCUGCUGCAUGGUGGGGGUUGGAAAGUUUCGGCGGUUGGGGAUGGACUCGCGGCUUAUCAGCUUGUUGGUGGGGUAGUGGCUUACCAAGGCUUUGACGGGUAGCCGGCCUGAGAGGGUGACCGGCCACAUUGGGACUGAGGUACGGCCCAGACUCCUACGGGAGGCAGCAGUGGGAAAUAUUGCACAAUGGGCGGAAGCCUGAUGCAGCGACGCCGCGUGCGGGAUGACGGCCUUCGGGGUGUAAACCGCUUUCGCCUGUGACGAAGCGUGAGUGACGGUAAUGGGUAAAGAAGCACCGGCUAACUACGUG
rnacentral:rRNA from 1 species